rnacentral:rRNA from 1 species
GACGAACGCUGGCGGCGUGCUUAACACAUGCAAGUCGAACGGAAAGGCCCUGCUUUUGUGGGGUGCUCGAGUGGCGAACGGGUGAGUAACACGUGAGUAACCUGCCCUUGACUUUGGGAUAACUUCAGGAAACUGGGGCUAAUACCGGAUAGGAGCUCCUGCUGCAUGGUGGGGGUUGGAAAGUUUCGGCGGUUGGGGAUGGACUCGCGGCUUAUCAGCUUGUUGGUGGGGUAGUGGCUUACCAAGGCUUUGACGGGUAGCCGGCCUGAGAGGGUGACCGGCCACAUUGGGACUGAGAUACGGCCCAGACUCCUACGGGAGGCAGCAGUGGGGAAUAUUGCACAAUGGGCGGAAGCCUGAUGCAGCAACGCCGCGUGCGGGAUGACGGCCUUCGGGUUGUAAACCGCUUUCGCCUGUGACGAAGCGUGAGUGACGGUAAUGGGUAAAGAAGCACCGGCUAACUACGUGCCAGCAGCCGCGGUGAUACGUAGGGUGCGAGCGUUGUCCGGAUUUAUUGGGCGUAAAGGGCUCGUAGGUGGUUGAUCGCGUCGGAAGUGUAAUCUUGGGGCUUAACCCUGAGCGUGCUUUCGAUACGGGUUGACUUGAGGAAGGUAGGGGAGAAUGGAAUUCCUGGUGGAGCGGUGGAAUGCGCAGAUAUCAGGAGGAACACCAGUGGCGAAGGCGGUUCUCUGGGCCUUUCCUGACGCUGAGGAGCGAAAGCGUGGGGAGCGAACAGGCUUAGAUACCCUGGUAGUCCACGCUGUAAACGGUGGGUACUAGGUGUGGGGUCCAUUCCACGGGUUCCGUGCCGUAGCUAACGCUUUAAGUACCCCGCCUGGGGAGUACGGCCGCAAGGCUAAAACUCAAAGGAAUUGACGGGGCCCCGCACAAGCGGCGGAGCAUGCGGAUUAAUUCGAUGCAACGCGUAGAACCUUACCUGGGUUUGACAUGGAUCGGGAGCGCUCAGAGAUGGGUGUGCCUCUUUUGGGGUCGGUUCACAGGUGGUGCAUGGCUGUCGUCAGCUCGUGUCGUGAGAUGUUGGGUUAAGUCCCGCAACGAGCGCAACCCUUGUUCACUGUUGCCAGCACGUUAUGGUGGGGACUCAGUGGAGACCGCCGGGGUCAACUCGGAGGAAGGUGGGGAUGACGUCAAGUCAUCAUGCCCCUUAUGUCCAGGGCUUCACGCAUGCUACAAUGGCUGGUACAGAGAGUGGCGAGCCUGUGAGGGUGAGCGAAUCUCGGAAAGCCGGUCUCAGUUCGGAUUGGGGCCUGCAACUCGACCUCAUGAAGUCGGAGUCGCUAGUAAUCGCAGAUCAGCAACGCUGCGGUGAAUACGUUCCCGGG